GUUAGGAAUAUUGGACAAUGGGCGCAAGCCUGAUCCAGCCAUGCCGCGUGAGUGAUGAAGGCCUUCGGGUUGUAAAGCUCUUCAGCCGAUGAUUAUAAUGACUGUAGUCGGAAAAUAAGCCCCGGCUAACUUCGUGCCAGCAGCCGCGGUAACACGAAUGGGGCGAGCGUUAUUCGGAAUCACUGGGCGUAAAGCGUUCGUAGGCGUCUUUGCAAGUUGGGAGUGAAAGCCCAGGGCUCAACCCUGGAAUUGCUCUCAAAACUGCAAGGCUCGAAUUCGGGAGAGGAUAGCGGAAUUGUCAGUGUAGCAGUGAAAUGCGUAGAUAUUGACAGGAACACCAGUGGCGUAAGCGGCUAUCUGGACCGAUAUUGACGCUGAGGCACGAAAGCGUGGGGAUCAAACAGGAUUAGAAACCCGAGUAGUCC
rnacentral:rRNA from 1 species